GACAGAGGGUGCGAACGUUGCUCGGAAUUACUGGGCGUAAAGCGCGUGUAGGCGGAUCGGUGUGUCGGACGUGAAAUCCCCGGGCUCAACCCGGGAACUGCGCUCGAAACUGCCGAUCUAGAGUGCCGGAGAGGGUGGCGGAAUUCCUGGUGUAGAGGUGAAAUUCGUAGAUAUCAGGAGGAACACCGGUGGCGAAGGCGGCCACCUGGACGGCUACUGACGCUGAGACGCGAAAGCGUGGGGAGCAAACAGG
rnacentral:rRNA from 1 species